GACGAACGCUGGCGGCGUGCUUAACACAUGCAAGUCGAACGGAAAGGCCCUGCUUUUGUGGGGUGCUCGAGUGGCGAACGGGUGAGUAACACGUGAGUAACCUGCCCUUGACUUUGGGAUAACUUCAGGAAACUUGGGCUAAUACCGGAUAGGAGCUCCUGCUGCAUGGUGGGGGUUGGAAAGUUUCGGCGGUUGGGGAUGGACUCGCGGCUUAUCAGCUUGUUGGUGGGGUAGUGGCUUACCAAGGCUUUGACGGGUAGCCGGCCUGAGAGGGUGACCGGCCACAUUGGGACUGAGAUACGGCACAGACUCCUACGGGAGGCAGCAGUGGGGAAUAUUGCAUAAUGGGAGGAAGCCUGAUGCAGCAAAGCCGCGUGCGGGAUGACGGCCUUCGGGUUGUAAACCGCUUUCGCCUGUGACGAAGCGUGAGUGACGGUAAUGGGUAAAGAAGCACCGGCUAACUACGUG
rnacentral:rRNA from 1 species